UACAGAGGGGGCAAGCGUUAAUCGGAAUUACUGGGCGUAAAGCGUGCGCAGGCGGUGAUGUAAGACAGAUGUGAAAUCCCCGGGCUCAACCUGGGAACUGCAUUUGUGACUGCAUCGCUGGAGUACGGCAGAGGGGGAUGGAAUUCCGCGUGUAGCAGUGAAAUGCGUAGAGAUGUGGAGGAACACCGAUGGCGAAGGCAGCCCCCCUGGGCUAACACUGACGCUCAGGCACGAAAGCGUGGGGAGCAAACAGG
rnacentral:rRNA from 1 species